rnacentral:rRNA from 1 species
GUCCUAUUAGAUUAUAAUUUUAGGUCUAGCCUGCCCACUGAAAUUUUAAAUGGCCGCGAUAUUUUGAUCGUGCUAAGGUAGCAUAAUAAUUAGUUUUUUAAUUGAAAGCUGGUAUGAAAGGUUGAAUGAGAAAAUAGCUGUCUCUUAUUAAUUUUAUUAGAAUUUUAUUUUUAAGUUAAAAAGCUUAAAUAUUAUUAAAAGACGAGAAGACCCUAUAGAGUUUAAUAAAAUAAUAUGAUUAGAUAUUUAUAGUAUAUAUUAAAUUUGAUUAUAAAUUUUAUUUAAUUGGGAUGAUUAAAAAAUUUAAUAAACUUUUUUUUUAUUAGAACAUUAAUUUAUGAUUAUUUGAUCCAUAUUUAGUGAUUAUAAGAUUAAAUUACCUUAGGGAUAACAGCGUAAUUUUUUUAUAGAGUUCAUAUCGAAAAAAAAGAUUGCGACCUCGAUGUUGGAUUAAAAUUAAUUUUUGGUGUAGAAGCUAGAAUAUUAGGUCUGUUCGACCUUUAAAAUUUUACA